rnacentral:snRNA from 14 species
AGCUUUGCGCAGAGACGAUAACGUGACCAAUGAGGCUCUGCCGAGGUGUGUUUAUUGCUGGUUGAAAACAAAACAUAAGUAUUACAAAAAAGUCACUCCUUUCCGCUCCUUCAUCUCCCCGUCCAACCUCAUACCCACACCCCUGGACUAACCAUGGGCUCCUUCGAGCAUAAUAUUAUUAACACUUUUCAAGU